rnacentral:lncRNA from 1 species
CUUUAUGUUCUAGGUCGCUCACCAGUAAAAUGCGGGAAUACAUUAUGUUCUAGGUCGCCCACCAGUAAAAUGCGGGAAUACUUUAUGUUCUAGGUCGCCCACCAGUAAAAUGCGGGAAUACUUUAUGUUCUAGGUCGCCCACCAGUAAAAUGCGGGAAUACUUUAUGUUCUAGGUCGCCCACCAGUAAAAUGCGGGAAUACGUUUCAGCUCUAGGUCGCCCACCAGUAAAAUGCGGGAAUACAUUUCAGUUCUAGGUCGCCCACCAGUAAAAUGCGGGAAUACAUUUCAGUUCUAGGUCGCCCACCAGUAAAAUGCGGGAAUACAUUUUAGUUUUAGGUCGCCCACCAGUAAAAUGCGGGAAUACGUUUCAGCUCUAGGUCGCCCACCAGUAAAAUGC